UUAGAUUAAUUACCUCGACUGAAAGUCAUGGGUCUUACGGAUGAUAAACACUCUAAAAUGUUUGUCACACAUUGUUCACUACUAUGAUUCAAAUAACAUGGAAAGUAUGACUAAAAACCUU